rnacentral:hammerhead_ribozyme from 1 species
ACCAUGGUGACGAGUUCCAAAUAGGACGAAACGCGAGUCCUGGAU